GACGUCAUGCAUCACGUGUGUAUUUUUUCAAAGCCAUGCACCCGAGGUUAGAGUUCAGUAAAUACUGAUGAUGUCAUCGUCUGAAGAUGGCUGAAGGAGAAGGCUGGUGGGGAGGCUGGCUUCAGCAGAGCUUCCAGGCCGUCAAAGAAAAGUCAUCUGAGGCCUUGGAAUUCCUAAAGCGAGACCUGACAGAGUUCUCCACUGUGGUGCAACAUGACACAACCUGCUCACUCGUGGCAACAGCGACUGCUGUCAGAAAUAAACUUGCAGUGGAAGGUUCCUCUGAGACUACAGAAAAGGUGAAGAAGAGCCUCUCUAGUUUCUUAGGGGUCAUCUCAGACACACUUGCUCCACCCCCGGAUAAAACCAUUGACUGUGAUGUAAUCACACUGGUGGCAACGGCAGCAGGAACUACAGAGGUUUAUGACAGUUCUAAGGCACGUCUCUACAGUUUGCAAGCUGACCCUGCUACAUACUGCAAUGAACCUGAUGGUCCCCCAGAGCAGUUUGACAACUGGCUGUCCACCUUCAGUUUGGAAGAUAAAAAGGGAGAAAUCUCAGAGCUUUUGGUCGACAGUCCCUCUAUACGUGCCCUUUAUACCAAAAUGGUGCCAGCAGCUGUGGCCCAUUCAGAAUUCUGGCAGAGGUAUUUCUACAAAGUCUUCCAGUUGGACCAGGAGGAGGCGAGGAGAGUGGCAUUGAAGCAGAGGGCUGAACAGACUACACACACAGAGACCCUGGGCUGGGAGGAGGAGGAGGAGGAUGACUUCCUCGGCACCACGUCAUCAUCUCAACUCAACUUUACUCCCCCGUUGGACAGCCGCUCAACGCAGCUGCCCACGACCUCAACGACUCCAACAGGAAUGACUCUGCUGAGCCCCGUCCUGUCUCCCAGCGAAGAGCGUGACCCCACCCUCUCAUUCAGCAGCGACAGCGUCAGCCUGCCGACACAGGUAGAAGUGCAACCAGAGCCUGUUGCCACUGAGCUGGCCGAGAGAAUGACAGAAGCUAGCUUGGAAGAUGUAGAUAAGGCACAAGAAGAGCAGAGGCUGCGAAAGAGUGACUUACCUCUUGAGGCUCAAUUGGAAGUAACUCAGCCAGAGGUCACUGUUGAUGGGGUGUCCGUGCGGGCUUCGGCCCCCACCACUAAGCCAGAAGCAGCAAAGGAGGACGGCCCGCAGGACCUGAGAGUGUUCGAGCUAAAUUCUGACAGCGGGAAAUCUACGCCCUCUAACAAUGGCAAAAAACAGGGUCCAGCACCGAUGUGAGUGAGGACUGGGAGAAAGACUUUGACCUGGACAUGACCGAAGAAGAAGUCCAACUGGCACUCUCUAAAAUAGAAGCCUCUGGAGAGAUUGAUGAAGACUGGGAGAACUGGGACUGAGAGCCACUGCGACAUGAACUCUGUCCCGCCAUUAAAGCUAGUUCUCGGCAGACGAACCAUGCUUAACGUGUUUUAACUCUUUGUCCACACUGUCACCAUGUCAUGAUUGUCAGUAGGGGAUUUUCCGCCUGGUUUGGACCAUAUUGGUAAACCUGUUGAAAAGCGCAACGGGAAGACCAAGGCAAUAAGAAUUAGACUGCUCCGUCAGCUGUCAGUUUAGUGCAGAUUGGCCGCUAGUGAGGGUAAUGAGUCAGGUCUUGGCUAUUUCUAGGAGUAAUUUGUGACUUGGAGAGCAUAUGACACUAGUAACAGACAGAGGUUGUAAUCAUUCUGACCUUAAAGCUUAAUGAUGCGCAGUGACAAGUCAGAACGUGAAAGGUUUCACUGCAGCAGGGGAGGAGCUGUUUUUCCUUUUAUGCCAUUAAAUUCAUCAUCUAUGUUGCGAGUGUAUUUCAAGUUGACCAACGACAUAACUGCAGGCUGCAAAAUAGCCAUAAACUAAUGCUGCUUGUCACCUUCCUAAGAUGAAGUACUCCGCAAGUGAUUUUUGAAUGGUGAUGAUCAAUUUAUUUAAUUCUGCCUGUGCCCCUUGCUUUCUUUCUCAUCUUUAUUAUGCAAGUGGAUCUUCAAAUGGAGAGGGGAAAAACAUUCUGGCCUUCAUUCAUAGAGCAUUUUUCAUUUUGGAUUCACUCCCAACUCUAGAUGUAUGGCCUUGUAAAACACACAGUAGUGUGAUAAUGUUAUCCAAAUGUCUUUGUUACAAGUCAGUCACCUGAACCACAACCAGCUAAUGUCUCAACAUUAGACAUUUCCCCACUCUCUGUCAUGUCAUGUGAUUCAUUUGAAUAUAUGAGCUUGUUGCAGGCUACGUGUAACUUUCUGUCACCUUUAAGCAUUUCACUUCUUUGAGUUGCUUAUCCGUUUGUCUUAUUCGGGUAGAGGGAAUUCAUUAAUUAUCACUCAUUAGUCAUAAUGAUAAAAGUCAUAUCUGACUUAAAGAGAAUUCAAACUGGUCCUGGAUACUGGAUUCUUUGGCUUGAAACUGAAGGUAGCGUCUGUUGUUAUUUACUUGUAGAGGGGAAUAUGACAACUCUGUGAAGCUUUAAGUUUCUGUCGCGGCCCAUGUUUGGAACAAAAUAGCUCAGCAGGCCGUGUACCAAGUAGACCAAGGAGCAAGAUGAGCACGCUCCAUGCUUCCCUGAUUUCCUUUUCCAUCACCUGUAAUGUAACUGAGAAAAAUAAUCCUAGAGAGGUAAUAUUUAUACUAAAAUAAAUGCUUAAUUAUUGUAUCAUGUGCUUUGGAUUGCAUGUAUGUGCAAUAACAUGCAAAACACUGUGCAGAUGUUUUCUGUUUCUGAGUUGUAUGUUUUUCAGUAAAGACAUUGGCUGUUCAGGUUUUUGUGUUCAGACAAUGUGUUGCAUGUUUGUAAUUCUCAGCUGUGUAUUCCCUUAACCUUCACACUUUGAACUAAUUGAGCAAAGUUGUUCUACACACAUCUGAUUCAAAGCUGUCAAGUUCUUUUUUUUUGUUUUUUUGUUUUUUUUUAAGUCAAGUAUUUCACUAUAUUUUUCAAAUGAUCAUUGUCAUUAAAGGAUUCAUGGCAAA